rnacentral:rRNA from 1 species
AGGGAAUCUUCCACAAUGGACGCAAGUCUGAUGGAGCAACGCCGCGUGAGUGAAGAAGGUCUUCGGAUCGUAAAGCUCUGUUGUUGGUGAAGAAGGAUAGAGGCAGUAACUGGUCUUUAUUUGACGGUAAUCAACCAGAAAGUCACGGCUAACUACGUGCCAGCAGCCGCGGUAAUACGUAGGUGGCAAGCGUUGUCCGGAUUUAUUGGGCGUAAAGCGAGCGCAGGCGGAAUGAUAAGUCUGAUGUGAAAGCCCACGGCUCAACCGUGGAACUGCAUCGGAAACUGUCAUUCUUGAGUGCAGAAGAGGAGAGUGGAACUCCAUGUGUAGCGGUGGAAUGCGUAGAUAUAUGGAAGAACACCAGUGGCGAAGGCGGCUCUCUGGUCUGCAACUGACGCUGAGGCUCGAAAGCAUGGGUAGCGAACAGGAUUAGAUACCCUGGUAGUCCAUGCCGUAAACGAUGAGCGCUAGGUGUUGGGGACUUUCCGGUCCUCAGUGCCGCAGCAAACGCAUUA